GGGAACGUUACGGAUGGCCAAUCGCUGUGUGAAUGCGCUGCGGAUCUGAUCCAGAGCCUCGCCGCGAGACCGUUCAAAAAUUCGCAACGGUUUCCAACGGUCUACCAGAUUUUGGCCAGGAUGGAGCCAUUAAAACUGGUUGUGUCUUGUAUGGAGAUGACUGAAUAUUGAAGGAGCUGUACGGAAAUGCAAAGUGAGCAGCAACACCACAGAAGAGAUUUCCAAACAUGCUAUCCGAUGGUUCAAUCUUGCAUCAGACCGCGUAGGCGGACGCCGGGAGAGAU